UUAAUCUGUAUGCACUAUGCACUCGUCAAGAUGUUUCGCAAUUGCAAUCAGUAUCGGCCGGAAUAACUAAUUUUUGGCGCACUAAAUGCCGCAAAAUUUUCAACAAAAUUUUUACUAAAAUUCUUUUCCCUCCGUUGGAUCCCUACUAGCCCCAUCGUUGCCUAUAAUCUUCUUCUUCGUCAUUGCUACUUCAAGCUGUAACAAAACCCACAAACAGAAUUUCAUAGUUAAUUUUCUCUCACCAAAAUCAAAAACCCAAACCGAAACCCAUCUUCGAAUCUUCAUUUGAAUGAUCUUUGUUCGACAAAAAGAAAUCAUCAUCAACAACACCGACAGGAACAACUUUCUUCCCAUUAAAAACCCACAAAAGAAUUCCCCUCAUAAACAUAGAAUCCAUCUGAUCUUUAGGGCAUGUUUUUGAGUAAAUUCUUUAACCCGAUUUCGAAUCUGACCUCAGAUUAGUGAUUAGUAUGCUAUGAUCUGCAUUACCCAUAAAACGUUUUGGUAGUCAAAUCAUUUACAAAUUACAAUUUUUUGAUUUAAUGGAGCAAAUUAGAGUUCAUCCGAUUGUAACUGUAUAAACCCAUUAAUCAGUUAGGCGUGAGUUUUGGUUUGUUUGAAGAAUUUGGACAUUUGGGUAUCCAUGAGCAGCUGAAUUUGGACAUUUGGGUUCAAGUUUCAUUCUAUCAUCAACUUAGGUAGAUUGAAGUCGUUCCAAUGAUGAAUAAAGAUUAGGUUCAUUGAUGAAUAAAGUUGUUCCCCAUGCGUGGAUUUUACGUUCUUUACUUAGGAAUCUUGCUGUGUGAAUUGAUGGGAACAAAGUGUUUUUGUCACUUGCAAGGGAUGGACCCUACUUGCAUCUAUUAGCCCAGGUGGUAUAUGCACACAUUUGAUUAUCACUAUUAAAUUAUAUAAGCACAUGACUGUAAGUGGUGUUAACUUUCUCUUAGGUCUGACAUUUGCUAAUUUGAAGUUGUGUUAUAACACCCUUAUUACAUCUGUAUGAACUCGUUAAGGUACCUUAUAUUAUUCCGGUUAGCACUAGUUAAGCUU